rnacentral:tRNA from 1 species
AAUAGGGUAUUCUAAUUAAGAUAUAGGGCUCAUGCCCCUAUGAUGUGGUAACACCUCUAUUU